UGGGGAAUAUUGGACAAUGGGCGCAAGCCUGAUCCAGCCAUGCCGCGUGAGUGAAGAAGGCCUUCGGGUUGUAAAGCUCUUUUACCAGGGACGAUAAUGACGGUACCUGGAGAAUAAGCCCCGGCAAACUUCGUGCCAGCAGCCGCGGUAAUACGAAGGGGGCUAGCGUUGUUCGGAAUUACUGGGCGUAAAGCGCACGUAGGCGGAUUGUUAAGUCAGAGGUGAAAUCCCGGAGCUCAACUUCGGAACUGCCUUUGAUACUGGCAAUCUAGAGUCCGGAAGAGGUUAGUGGAAUUCCCAGUGUAGAGGUGAAAUUCGUAGAUAUUGGGAAGAACACCAGUGGCGAAGGCGGCUAACUGGUCCGGUACUGACGCUGAGGUGCGAAAGCGUGGGGAGCGAACAGGAUUAGAUACCCGGGUAGUCCCUGAG
rnacentral:rRNA from 1 species